rnacentral:rRNA from 1 species
GAUGAACGCUGGCGGCGUGCUUAACACAUGCAAGUCGAACGGGAAAUAUUUCAUUGAGACUUCGGUGGAUUUGAUUUAUUUCUAGUGGCGGACGGGUGAGUAACGCGUGGGUAACCUGCCUUAUACAGGGGGAUAACAGUCAGAAAUGGCUGCUAAGACCGCAUAAGCGCACAGAGCUGCAUGGCUCAGUUUGAAAAACUCCGGUGGGAUAAGAUGGACCCGCGUUGGAUUAGCUAGUUGGUGGGGUAACGGCCCACCAAGGCGACGAUCCAUAGCCGGCCUGAGAGGGUGAACGGACACAUUGGGACUGAGACACGGCCCAGACUCCUACGGGAGGCAGCAGUGGGGAAUAUUGCACAAUGGGGGAAACCAUGAUGCAGCGACGACGCGUGAAGGAAGAAGUAUCUCGGUAUGUAAACUUCUAUCAGCAGGGAAGAUAGUGACGGUACCUGAAUAAGAAGCCCCGGCUAACUACGUG